GCCCGGCUGGCACAAUUGGUUAGCGCGUGGGCCUUUUACGAAAGAGCAGCCCAAGGUUGAGAGUUCGAGCCUCUCGUCGGGCG